GAUGAAGAACGUAGCGAAAUGCGAUAAGUAGUGUGAAUUGCAGAAUUCAGUGAAUCAUCGAAUCUUUGAACGCACAUUGCGCCCCCUGGUAUUCCGGGGGGCAUGCCUGUCCGAGCGUCAUUGCCGCCCUCAAGCACGGCUUGUGUGUUGGGCCCCCGCCCCCCGGCUUCGGGGGGCGGGCCCGAAAGGCAGCGGCGGCACCGCGUCCGGUCCUCGAGCGUAUGGGGCUUCGUCACCCGCUCUGUAGGCCCGGCCGGCGCCCGCCGGCGACCCCAGUCAAUCUUUCCAGGUUGACCUCGGAUCAGGUAGGGAUACCCGCUGAACUUAAGCAUAUCAAUAAGCGGAGGA
rnacentral:misc_RNA from 1 species